GUCACAGGCUUCUCAGAAAUUUCCUCUCACACUCUCAUGGCUGCCGUCGUCGCUUCUACUCCACCGUCGGCGCCGCUCUUGCGCCGUUGAACUCGCCAUCGCUCUUGCUCCAUCGUUGGCGUGAAGGUUUGUUCGCUCGUGAGGUCCCACCGUUUGCAUGAAGGUUUGUUCCAGUUAUUUUCGCUCAAGUCGCACAAAGCAAAUCUCCCUCUUCAUCCACUUCUGCGUCGUUUCACCGUCUGUCGUCGUCAAACAACAACCGCCUCUCAACCACUUCAUCUGGAACACCCUCAUUCGCACCACCAUUUUAAGUGUGUUUCUAGAUUCUAAUAUGAGUGGUAAUGACCAAGCUUCUGGUUCUAGUCACAACAUUAGGGGCUUAAUCGCCGAUGUCGGUGCUGGUGCCGCCGCGGGGGCAAUAACAGCUACAUUUGUGUGUCCAUUGGAUGUCAUCAAGACAAGGCUAUAAGUUCAUGGCCUUCCUCCUUCGCAGAAAGGUUUGGGUUGGAACUUGCGGUUUCAUCACCUCUAUAAGCCUCGACAUCUCAGGAUAGAGGGAUCAAUCUGCUUUGUGUUUCCCUUCUGUGGAUGUGAAGCUGCUUGAAUCAAGAGGUACAUCCCUAUCUGUCUAAGUUUGAAGCUACUGAAGGGUUUGACACAUGUGCUUGUGGGUAAAAUCGUUGUUGGGACUUAACUUUAUGGGUUCUCACUAUGAUGAAUUAUAUGCUGAGUUUGAUGACCUUGUAUUUAGAUGAAUAUUUAUGUCUUUGACACUAACGUUUUUAGUUAUGCUUUUGACAUUUUACCAUCACUAUG